GCGCAGUACAAGAGAAACGAACACGUUUUGAGAAUCGAACCAAAGUUGACGUUUUAUAAAAUUUUCCUAUUUUUAUUUGUAUUAUUGGUGAAUACAUUUUCUACUUUUAUAGUAUUUGUACAUUAAAAACAAACACCGACCAAUUUCAAAACUUUAUAAUAGUAAAAUUUAACUAUUGAUGUAUUAUAUAGAUUGAGGUAAUUAUCUUUCAUUUUAACCGUGUAAUUCAGUUCCUAUAUUGAUAACUAUAUAAUUAUAUGUAAAUAAGACUUUCCUAUAUUUAAUAAAUCAGUGUGAGAACAACAUAUAUCAAUUUAACAGUUCUGUUUGUGGAAACACCACGUAAAUUUAUUACUGCAAUGGUGAUAAAUAAUAAAUUAUAAUAAAGUAGUAAUAAAUUUACGUGGUGUUUCCACAAACAAAACUAUUAUAUUUUAUCGCCAUGCAAACAUACAAAGAACUUAUAUAUCAAUUUCAUGGCAAAAAACAAAAAACCGCUUGCAGCAAAGCUCUGAAGUGACCCCAUAUGAUUCCCAAACCUUUGUUUACAAAUUGCAUCUGAUGACGCGUUUUACGCAUUGUGAUUGACUUGGAGCAAAAAUGUAAACAAAAGCGCUGAUUGGUCGAGAACAAAAUUCCAUCUUGUUGUCUGUUUUCAAUUGCUCAAAAUACGUCAAAUUUCAUUGAAUCCCGGAUAAAAUAAAAUAAUAUUUAUAAGGGGCAAUAAAUAAUAUUAUGUUGACAAAUAAUAGUAAUUCUUUGUUUUAUUAUUCAGCGAUUGGGUAAAACGCGGAUAUGAUGUUUAAAACAUAUUUCAGAGAAAAAUAGGUCAUCUAGAUCUAUCCGUUCGUCCGUCCGUAUCAGCGUUUUUAUUAUUGUGACUCUGUCCACAUAUGCAAUUUGUAAUCUAGGUAAAUUUCUUUUUCGGAAAAGUAAAUGUAAUUUUUACUUAUUACUUUAAUAGAGUAAUUUUUACAACACUGGUCACAAUCAGGGCCACGCAUAUUUUCUGUCAUGAUCGUGACAGACAUUGAUCAUGAUGAGCCCAAAAUUACACUUACCCGUAACUAUUUUAAAUGAUAAAUUUACUAAUAAUAU